rnacentral:lncRNA from 1 species
UAAAACAAAUACACAAGCUAAAAAUGUCUUCUGGGAAUACUCAGCCAGCAGAAAGGAUAAAUACCUACCAUUUACAUCAACGUCGAUGGAACUGGAGGGUGUUAUGCUGAGCAAAAUAAGUCAGAGAAAGAUAAUUAUCAUAUGGUUUCAGUCAUAUGUGGAAUAUAAGAAAUAGUACAGAGGACCAUAAGUGAAGGAGGAGAAAUUGAAUGGGAAAAAAUCAGAGAGGGAGAUAAACCAUGAGAGACUCUUAACUCUGGGAAAUAAACUGAGGGCUGCUGAAGGGGAGGUAGGUGGAGGGAUGGGGAAACUGGGUGAUGGGCAUUAAGGGGGGCACGUGAUAUGAUGACUACUGGGAGUUACAUGCAACUGAUGAAUUAUUGAAAAUGUCAUCUGAAACUAAUGAUGUACUAUAUGUUGACUAAUUGAAUUUAAAUAAAAAAUAAAAUAUUACAAUAAAAUAAAAUAAAAUAAAAUAAAAUAAAAGUGUCUCCUGGGGAAGAGACAGUACAUGAAAUGGAAUUGUUCAAUUCUCCAAUUUUAAAUUGGAAAUUUAAAAAAUGUAAUUGAUAUUCUCUUUAUUGAGUUUGCCAUUUUUAUUGAUUUAUUAAGUGUAUUGAAUAUGAAAAAAUUAAAAUGCUUUCUAAAGAUCACCAUAACUUCAGUCCCCUAAACCCUAUAUUUUCUUGUACUGACUUAAGAUCUCAAACCUUCUUAAAACAAGAAGACAAGCAUGGCCACAGUUAUUUCCAAGAAUCUAGCUCUAUAGUUAGGGAUAGGCUAUGCACCUGUUUUGACCAAGAAAUAUGCCCUGAAGUGUUUUGAAUGUUGUGCAGGCUCCAGUAGCCUGCAGGGAGGUGGGGUCUUAAACACACACUGGGGAAGCUGGACCAGCAUCCAUGUUAUGCCCUGUCAAGCUGCAUCCAUCGAAUUAGGUUAGGAGUUAAGAUGUUACAUGAUGUGACCAAUGGGAUCAGAAGCAAUAACACAACCUGUCAGCCAGUGCUUUCCUGACAAUUCUGGAGAAAAGAUUGCCUGCUGGAGUGCUGAGGAGGUAAGAGCGGCAUGUGUUUGGGGGAGCAGGGGAAGGUCUAUUUGAUUCCUUAUUUACAAAUGUGGUGGGGAAAGGGUGGCAAAUCAGUCGGUGUUCCCCAGACUGAUUUUAGGGUUUUGCUUAUAAGCUACAAUACCAAAUACCUUUUCUUACAGGACAAAAGUUGCAAAAACUUGCACACAGCAUUUCAGGCACUACAUGGUCUCCUGGGAGAAAGGUCAAAAAAAAAAAAGAUUUGUGAGACCUUCUGUUUCAUAAGGGUGAGGGAGGGUCACCUCAGCCAACUCUGUGCUCAGAUAGGGCCAGGAAAUGCAAUUGAAGGUUGAAGAUACCUGGCGCCAACUCAGAGGUGAUUAAAUCGUUGCUUCUGUUUGUGGGCACUAGGGCCAUAGGGCUCACCUCAGUCAGUGCUGAUGAAUACCCUGACAUUGGCAGACAAGUAACAGGUGAAGCUCAGCUUCUGUAUGAACCACAUAGAUACCACCUUUGAAGUGUGUCCGCUAGGACUGACUUACAAACACACUACCUUACAGAUAUUCCAGUGGCAGAAAAUUCAAACAAGGAAGAGAUAUUCAGAGAGAGUAUAUCACACUAAACAUACACUCAGAGCUAUGAUAAACUCCAAGUGUGCAACAGGUCACUAGUAGAGAAUUUUUAAUCACUGGAUGCUUCUCCUAGGGUCUUAGCCCCCCUGUUUUACACACACAUGGCCACAGAGGUAACUAAAGACUUGAUUUUUUGGGGGGUAGAUCAUCCUGGAUUCUCCUCAUUUGUUCAAGACCUGAUGCAAACCAGUUCCUUUGAAAUUGCAGAGGCAAUUUGGCUCCUUCUUCCCAGAAACUGGUCCUUUAGAUUCAAAAGAUCAGCAUGGAGACUUUGCUCUUCAGCUGAUCUUAUUCCUAAGGAUACAUGAAGGACUCAAUAAAUACUUUUGAUCACGUCUCUAGUUCCUUUCCCAGGCCCAGUUAACUGUUCUUGUAGUGUCUUUACCCUCGAUUUUGUAAGAGUAGUGUCAGGUCAUCCAUUUGCCCUUUGACUAGGGACAGUUUCCCAGAAGAUGAAGUCACCCCCAGUACAUCCUGGGCAACUAUUGGGCUCACAUUUAUUUGAGAGUACCAUGUGUCUCUGUGGGGAUUGGGUGACCUGAAGCCUAUCACAUCCCAAGACUCAUCAGCUCUCUGCCUGGCAAACCUGGACAAAUACACGCUUUUGCAUCUGAGAACUCUUAAUGAAGUGCUUCAGAAAGACGUUCUGGGAAACACGGUCAAUAAUAACAAAUAUCAUAUCCACGUGUUGCAGUCACACAUGGAAACUAUGAUCCUGACCAGUGCUUUUGUACGUCGUCCAGGUGGCAAAACACCUGGAAGUCACACAACACCAUGAUCGUUACACAGCCCUAGUACAAAAGACACAGUUAAUCCCAGUAUCUAAAGUAUGUAUGACUUUUAUGAGCAGAAAAUAUGACUAGAUUGCUGUGUGUAAAUGCAACAGAAAACCAGAGUAAGGCAAUUCAAAUCUAUAAAAAAAUAUAUCAUGACUUAAGCACAAUCACUUAUUUCUGAAUCUUUCCACUAACAUCAUUUACAGCCUUUUUCAUUAAUUUGGUCAUUGGCAGGUGCACAUGGAAGGCAGAAUAAGAGCCAGUCCCAAAGGUUUAAAAGAAAACAGGAGUAGGAAAGUUUUAAAAUGAGAAAAAUCUUAUCCAUUUACUUCUUUUUUUUUCUGUGAAAGAAAAAAUCUGUUGUUAUUCGUUUUUAUAGAGGAAUACUUUAGAAAAGUGGAGAAACAGUAGUAUUUGCAAUCUUAGAUUACUCCAAGUCAUCAGAAGGUUGGAUUGAGGCAGGGAGGGGGAUUAUAUCAACUUUCUUCUUAGGAACUCAUUAAUUCUCUGACUCAUUUCUCUCUCGUGUUUCUCUCAGUUCUCUCCUAUCCACUCUAAUCCUUUAGUGGUAGAUAAAUCAAAGGUGUUAUCAAAGUUGUCUUUUACUGACUACACUCAGACUCUGGACCUCUGAGUUAUAGAAAAGGACAUUCCAUUGUUCCUUCUUUGCUUUUCAAAGAUUGCCAGCAUAUCUUCUUAAAGUUAGACCUAUGGGAAAGCCUGGGGUCAUUUAUUUCUCCUCCCUGGACCCUCCUAUCAAGUAUCCCUUUGAAGUUCUUUCUUAGGUACCACUCCUUUCCUUAGAUUUUUCCUUCUGUUGCUGCUCAUAGAGUUGUAGCUUACCUUUUAUUCUUCAUAGUCCACGUUUGUGUUUUCCUACUCAAUGGAAAUUAGGAAUUAGAUAAAUCCAAACAGGUUUCAGUCAUGUCCCCACAUAAUAACCAAGGAAAUUCUGCUCUGCUAAUGUUCCUAAAGUAUAUUGCUAUGCAUGGGGAAGCAGUGACCAAUGGUCUGAUCGAACUAAAAACCAGCAUCCCCUUAAUGGGAAUUCUACAAAUACCUGAUACUCUUGGAAGAGGCCCAAGACUAUUUCUUUCAUUUUGUCAUGUUGAAGCCACAUAUAUUUGUUACCCUGACCAGAACUCAUUAGACCACAUAUUUUACAACAGGUAUAGACAAAGAGCUGUGUUGUGGACAUAGGAGAAUCCAGGGACCUACAGGAUGUUUUACACAAGGACUCUUUUCACUAGAAUGUCCUAUAAUGGGUAGCGACAAACCAACUCAAGCUGUUCUUUCUACAUUGGUAAUAUGAAAGUGUGGUGCAUUUCAGCAUGGCACAGAAGCUGUGAGACAGACAGAAGCAAGGCAUCUGUAACAACUGGAAUGGAGAGCAGGGCUCGUCUCUCUCUGAGUUGCAAGUGUGGAAGACUGGCUACAGUCAGAGGGGGUUCUAGGCAGUUACAAAGGUAUGGCAGGAUGAAAACAGCCUGGGCUAUACAUCUGGGCCACUAUUAAAUGCUGA